CGCGGCCUAUCAGCUUGUUGGCGGGGUAAUGGCUCACCAAGGCGACGACGGGUAGCCGGCCUGAGAGGGUGACCGGCCACACUGGGACUGAGACACGGCCCAGACUCCUACGGGAGGCAGCAGUGGGGAAUAUUGCACAAUGGGCGCAAGCCUGAUGCAGCGACGCCGCGUGAGGGAUGACGGCCUUCGGGUUGUAAACCUCUUUCAGCAGGGAAGAAGCGAAAGUGACGGUACCUGCAGAAGAAGCGCCGGCUAACUACGUGCCAGCAGCCGCGGUAAUACGUAGGGCGCAAGCGUUGUCCGGAAUUAUUGGGCGUAAAGAGCUCGUAGGCGGUUUGUCGCGUCUGCUGUGAAAGCCCGGGGCUUAACCCCGGGUCUGCAGUGGGUACGGGCAGACUAGAGUGCAGUAGGGGAGACUGGAAUUCCUGGUGUAGCGGUGAAAUGCGCAGAUAUCAGGAGGAACACCGAUGGCGAAGGCAGGUCUCUGGGCUGUUACUGACGCUGAGGAGCGAAAGCAUGGGGAGCGAACAGGAUUAGAUACCCUGGUAGUCCAUGCCGUAAACGUUGGGCACUAGGUGUGGGGGACAUUCCACGUUUUCCGCGCCGUAGCUAACGCAUUAAGUGCCCCGCCUGGGGAGUACGG
rnacentral:rRNA from 1 species